GGCCUUUUGAGUAUAAUUUAAGGUCGGACCUGCCCAAUGAUUAAUUAAAUGGCCGCGGUAUACUGACCGUGCAAAGGUAGCAUAAUCAUUAGUUUUUUAAUUGAAAGCUUGUAUGAAGGGUUUAAUGAGAAAAAUGCUGUCUCUAUUUAAAUUUAUUAGAAUUUUAUAUUUAAGUUAAAAAGCUUAAAUUUGUAUUGAAGACGAGAAGACCCUAUAGAGUUUUAUAUUUUAAGUAGUGAUUAGAUAUUAAGAAUUUUAAAGAUUGUUAUGGAAAGUAUUUAAUUGGGGUGAUUGAAAAAUUAAUUUAACUUUUUUUGUAUUUUUACAUUGAUUAAUGAAUUUAUGGUCCUUUGGUUAAGAUUAAAAGAUAUAAUUACCUUAGGGAUAACAGCGUAAUUUUUUUUAGAGUUCUUAUCGAAAGAAAAGAUUGCGACCUCGAUGUUGGAUUAAAAUGAAUUGUUGGUGAAGAAGCUGACAAGUUGGGUCUGUUCGACCUUUAAAUUUUUACAUGAUCUGAGUUUAAACCGGUGUAAG
rnacentral:rRNA from 1 species